GGGUGCGAUCAUACUAGCACUAACGCACUUGAUCCCAUCAUAACUCCACAGUUAAGCGUGCUUGGACGAGAGUAGUACUAGGAUGGGUGACCUCCUGGGAAGUCCUCGUAUUGCACCCC
rfam:Beta vulgaris subsp. vulgaris Bvchr1.sca007.con0065.1, whole genome shotgun sequence.